CGGGUAAGUUCCGACCUGCACGAAUGGCGUAACGAUGGCCACACUGUCUCCACCCGAGACUCAGUGAAAUUGAAUUUGCGGUUAAGAUGCCGUAUACCCGCGGCUAGACGGAAAGACCCCGUGAACCUUUACUAUAGCUUAGUAUUGACUUUGGAUAAGUAAUGUGUAGGAUAGGUGGGAGACUUUGAAGCGGCGUCGCUAGGCGUUGUGGAGUCAACCUUGAAAUACCACCCUUUGCUUAUCUAGAGCCUAACUCAGAGAUGAGGACAGUGCUUGGUGGGUAGUUUGACUGGGGUGGUCGCCUCCAAAA
rnacentral:rRNA from 1 species